rnacentral:rRNA from 1 species
CCUAUAAGACUGGGAUAACUUCGGGAAACCGGGGCUAAUGCCGGAUAAUAUUUAGAACCGCAUGGUUCUAAAGUGAAAGAUGGUUUUGCUAUCACUUAUAGAUGGACCCGCGCCGUAUUAGCUAGUUGGUGGGGUAAUGGCUUACCAAGGCGACGAUACGUAGCCGACUGAGAGGGUGAUCGGCCACACUGGAACUGAGACACGGUCCAGACUCCUACGGGAGGCAGCAGUAGGGAAUCUUCCGCAAUGGGCGAAAGCCUGACGGAGCAACGCCGCGUGAGUGAUGAAGGUCUUCGGAUCGUAAAACUCUGUUAUUAGGGAAGAACAAAUGUGUAAGUAACUGUACACGUCUUGACGGUACCUAAUCAGAAAGCCACGGCUAACUACGUGCCAGCAGCCGCGGUAAUACGUAGGUGGCAAGCGUUACCCGGAAUUAUUGGGCGUAAAGCGCGCGUAGGCGGUUUCUUAAGUCUGAUGUGAAAGCCCACGGCUCAACCGUGGAGGGUCAUUGGAAACUGGGAAACUUGAGUGCAGAAGAGGAAAGUGGAAUUCCAUGUGUAGCGGUGAAAUGCGCAGAGAUAUGGAGGAACACCAGUGGCGAAGGCGACUUUCUGGUCUGUAACUGACGCUGAUGUGCGAAAGCGUGGGGAUCAAACAGGAUUAGAUACCCUGGUAGUCCACGCCGUAAACGAUGAGUGCUAAGUGUUAGGGGGUUUCCGCCCCUUAGUGCUGCAGCUAACGCAUUAAGCACUCCGCCUGGGGAGUACGACCGCAAGGUUGAAACUCAAA